rnacentral:rRNA from 1 species
GAUGAACGCUGGCGGUAUGCUUAACACAUGCAAGUCGAACGGACUCUUCGGAGUUAGUGGCGGACGGGUGAGUAACGCGUGAGAAUCUGGCUUUGGGUUCGGGACAACCACUGUAAACGGUGGCUAAUACCGGAUGUGCCGAGAGGUAAAAGAGAAAUUGCCUGAAGAUGAGCUCGCGUCUGAUUAGCUAGUUGGUGAGGUAAAGGCUCACCAAGGCAGCGAUCAGUAGCUGGUCUGAGGGGAUGACCAGCCACACUGGGACUGAGACACGGCCCAGACUCCUACGGGAGGCAGCAGUGGGGAAUUUUCCGCAAUGGGCGAAAGCCUGACGGAGCAAUACCGCGUGAGGGAAGAAGGCUCUUGGGUUGUAAACCUCUUUUCUUAGGGAAGAACAAAAUGACGGUACCUAAGGAAUCAGCAUCGGCUAACUCCGUG